GAUGAACGCUGGCGGCGUGCCUAAUACAUGCAAGUCGAGCGAACGGACGAUAAGCUUGCUUCUCUGAUGUUAGCGGCGGACGGGUGAGUAACACGUGGAUAACCUACCUAUAAGACUGGGAUAACUUCGUGAAACCGGAGCUAAUACCAGAUGAUAUUUUGAACCGCAUGGUUCAAAAGUUAAAGACGGUCUUUCUGUCACUUAUAGAUGUAUCCGCGCUGCAUUAGCUAGUUGGUAAGGUAACGGCCUACCAAGGAAACGAUGCAUAGCCGACCUGAGAGGGUGAUCAGCCACACUGGAACUGAGACACGGUCCAGACUCCUACGGGAGGCAGCAGUAGGGAAUCUUCGGCAAUGGGCGAAAGCCUGACGGAGCAAAGCCGCGUGAGUGAUGAAGGUCUUCGGAUCGUAAAACUCUGUUAUUAGGGAAGAAAAUAUGUGUAAGUAACUGUGCACAUCUUGACGGUACCUAAUGAGAAAGCAACGGCUAACUACGUG
rnacentral:rRNA from 1 species